rnacentral:rRNA from 1 species
UACGGAGGAUCCGAGCGUUAUCCGGAUUUAUUGGGUUUAAAGGGUGCGUAGGCGGGCUUUUAAGUCAGCGGUAAAAAUUCGGGGCUCAACCCCGUCCGGCCGUUGAAACUGGGGGUCUUGAGUGGGCGAGAAGAAGGCGGAAUGCGUGGUGUAGCGGUGAAAUGCAUAGAUAUCACGCAGAACCCCGAUUGCGAAGGCAGCCUUCCGGCGCCCUACUGACGCUGAGGCACGAAAGUGCGGGGAUCGAACAGG